UACCUUCUCAAGCCCUGAAACAUAGGGCCCAACAUGAACACUUUCUAUGUCAUCUGUUGUAGCUGGCUGAAAUUCUGCACUUCAACAACAUCUGAGCCUCGAAACUUUGAAGUCAAAUUCAUCUUUUCCAGAGCUGUCAAAAUUGCAGGAACUCUAGAGUUGCAUUCUGGAUGUGAUUCCUGAUUAUGACCCAUUGCAGGAGCAGCAGCAUAAAUCACUUUUGCACCAACUGCGAUAUGAUCAGAAGGCAAGCCAACAUUUCUUUCCUUAUGAUUUGAACAAUAAAUGGUGCCUCG
rnacentral:misc_RNA from 1 species